UACGUAGGGGGCAAGCGUUGUCCGGAAUUAUUGGGCGUAAAGAGCUUGUAGGCGGUCUGUCGCGUCUGCUGUGAAAAUCCGGGGCUCAACCCCGGACUUGCAGUGGGUACGGGCAGACUAGAGUGUGGUAGGGGAGACUGGAAUUCCUGGUGUAGCGGUGAAAUGCGCAGAUAUCAGGAGGAACACCGAUGGCGAAGGCAGGUCUCUGGGCCAUAACUGACGCUGAGAAGCGAAAGCAUGGGGAGCGAACAGG
rnacentral:rRNA from 1 species